CAGUCAAAUGUAGAUGAAACCAGGUCCACUUCAUCUUCUUUGAAAAGCGAUGCCUCGUAACAUACAUACCUGUCACAGCUAAUUCAAGCGUUGCCACCUAUUCACGCAAGGAAGAAAUCGAUUUCACAAAUUGGCGUUUCCGGAAAACAGGUAAGGCUAUAGCCCAGUAAAAUGUCGAUGAAACCAGGUCCACUUCAUCUUCUUUGAAAAGCGCUGCCUCGUCACAUACAUACCUGUCACGGCUAAUUAAAGCGUUGCCACCUAUUUACGCAAUGAAGAAACCGAUUUCACAAAUUGGCAUUUCUGGAAAACAGGUAAGGC